UAUAAGUUUUGGAAUCUGGCUCAGAUUGAACGCUGGCGGCAGGCCUAACACAUGCAAGUCGAGCGGAUGAAAGGAGCUUGCUCCUGGAUUCAGCGGCGGACGGGUGAGUAAUGCCUAGGAAUCUGCCUGGUAGUGGGGGACAACGUUUCGAAAGGAACGCUAAUACCGCAUACGUCCUACGGGAGAAAGCAGGGGACCUUCGGGCCUUGCGCUAUCAGAUGAGCCUAGGUCGGAUUAGCUAGUUGGUGAGGUAAUGGCUCACCAAGGCGACGAUCCGUAACUGGUCUGAGAGGAUGAUCAGUCACACUGGAACUGAGACACGGUCCAGACUCCUACGGGAGGCAGCAGUGGGGAAUAUUGGACAAUGGGCGAAAGCCUGAUCCAGCCAUGCCGCGUGUGUGAAGAAGGUCUUCGGAUUGUAAAGCACUUUAAGUUGGGAGGAAGGGUUGUAGAUUAAUACUCUGCAAUUUGACGUACCGACAGAAAGCCCCGAGCC
rnacentral:rRNA from 1 species